UCGAGGAUCUUCCGCAAUGGGCGCAAGCCUGACGGAGCGAUGUCGCGUGAGGGAUGAAGGCCUUCGGGUCGUAAACCUCUGUCACCCGGGAAGAAGCAAGUGACGGUACCGGGAGAGGAAGCCAUGGCUAACUACGUGCCAGCAGCCGCGGUAAUACGUAGAUGGCAAGCGUUAUUCGGAUUUACUGGGCGUAAAGGGUCCGCAGGGGGUCUGUCAAGUCGGAUGUGAAAUUCCGGGGCUCAACCCCGGACGUGCAUCCGAAACUGCCGGACUAGAGUGAGCGAGGGGCCGAUGGAAUUCCUGGUGUAGCGGUGGAAUGCGUGGAUAUCAGGAGGAACACCGAUGGCGAAGGCGGUCGGCUGGCGCUCAACUGACCCUCAGGGACGAAAGUGCGGGGAGC
rnacentral:rRNA from 1 species